rnacentral:rRNA from 1 species
UGUAUUUAUUCUUGUUUAUCUCAGGUUAAAGAGUUUAAUUUGAAAAAUAAUUUAUUAUUUAAGUAAUUUUUAGUAAAAUAAUAAAAUAACUAUAGUUCAUUAGUACAGUGAUGGAAAUGUAAAUUAAUGCAAGUAAAGAAUGUUUAUAUUACUAUACCUUGUGUAUUAGGGAAACUCUAUAUAAAUUAAUGAUUUUAAAUGUCUCGAAAUAAAAACAGCUAAAUUUAUACUAUUGUGCUUGUCGAAUAAAGCUUUCAAAUAUAAAUUUAAAGGUGAAAUGUUAUUAGAGUUUUAUUAUAUCUGGUUUUUUUAGAAUAAAAUUUAAUUUUGAUUUUAAAUAUAAUAGAUUUAAAUUUUAACUGUAGGAGGGAGUAGCUUCUUACAGAUCUUUUUUAAUAGUUACAUAAAAAUAAAUUUUUUGAGACUAGGCUUAAAAGUAGCCAUGUUAAAAAAGUGUUAUUACUUAUUAAUAAUAAAAUUUUAUUUAAGAUAACUUUAAACAAGUACAAAACUUUUUUGUAAAAUAAAAUUAUAAAAGUGAUAAUGAAUUUAUUAGUAUAAUUAAUGUAAGCUAACUAAAAUAUAAUAACUAAGACGUUAAAAUAUUUAGUGUAAAAUAUAAAGGAACUCGGCAAAUAAUUUUUCUUGCCUGUUUAUCAAAAACAUGUCUAUUUGAAGAUAUAAAAAGUCUAAUCUGCCCACUGAAAUUAAUAUUAAAGGGCCGCAGUAUAUUGACUGUGCAAAGGUAGCAUAAUCGUUUGGUUUUUAA